GACAGAGGAUGCAAGCGUUAUCCGGAAUGAUUGGGCGUAAAGCGUCUGUAGGUGGCUUUUCAAGUCCGCCGUCAAAUCCCAGGGCUCAACCCUGGACAGGUGGUGGAAACUACCAAGCUGGAGUACGGUAGGGGCAGAGGGAAUUUCCGGUGGAGCGGUGAAAUGCGCAGAUAUCAGGAGGAACACCGAUGGCGAAGGCAGGUCUCUGGGCCACUACUGACGCUGAGAAGCGAAAGCAUGGGGAGCGAACAGG
rnacentral:rRNA from 1 species